GCAGUGAAGGAGUUAAUCUUAGGGUACAUAUUUAAUAUUAUUCUGAACAAAGUGACUAUUCUGGAAUGGCUGGAUGGUUUUGUUGUUUUGCCAUUGUAGUAGUGCAAUUUCUUUGGCACGAAGCUUUAAUUUAACUACAUUUUUAACAUGCAAAUACUUUCUUUUGAAAAACAUUUAUCAUUGUCAUUCAGGUCCAAGAUGUUUAUAGUCAUUCAUUGCAUUUAGAAUCAAGCUUUGCAAAUUGAUGAUUUGUUGACCAUUGUGCCUCAUGUUGAGUUAUGAAUUGAUUUUUUUAAUGAAAACAAGGUCAAUGCUCGUCUUUCUUUUUCUCUCUCUCUCUCCGUAUCUCUGUUUCCAUUAUCUAUU
rnacentral:misc_RNA from 1 species